UACGAAGGGGGCUAGCGUUGUCCGGAAUUAUUGGGCGUAAAGAGCUCGUAGGUGGCUUGUUGCGUCUGCCGUGAAAGCCCGUGGCUUAACUGCGGGUCUGCGGUGGAUACGGGCAGGCUAGAGGCUGGUAGGGGCAAGCGGAAUUCCUGGUGUAGCGGUGAAAUGCGCAGAUAUCAGGAGGAACACCGGUGGCGAAGGCGGGUCUCUGGGCCGAUACUGACGCUGAGGAGCGAAAGCGUGGGGAGCGAACAGG
rnacentral:rRNA from 1 species